rnacentral:sRNA from 1 species
UACCAUUAUAAGACUAAAAGUAAAUAGAUCUAGAUGCCAAUGAGAUAUAAAUUACACAUUUUAAAGAAUUUUGAAAAUCAGAUAAGUGGUUCAAAUGUUAUGAAUUGUUUUAGUUCAUUUUUCUGACCUCUUUGUCAUUUUAUUUUAAGAAAUUUUGUCCCACUUUUGCUCACUUUUGGUUAAAAUCAUUUCUUGUGAAUAAUGUUUAAAACUGAUGUUUCUCCAUACUUAACAAUUUUACUGCUUCAUACUGCUCUGUAACAAUAUUUGUUAAAUUUUCAGGAGAAAAACUGUCAAUGCUUUCUUUUCUUUGUUGACCUUGAUGCUGGAUUGACAUGAAUCUGAACUGCAUUGAACAUUCUCUCCAAGCCUUCUUUUUCUAUAGCCGCAUAUUUCUUUUCCCUGUCCAAUAACUUCCUACUAAUAUAUGCUAUUGGGAAUUUCCCAUCUGGAAAUUCUUGUAACAGGACUGCCCCUAGCCCCUGAUCGGAUGCGUCAGUUCUUACAAUCAACUGCCUGUUGAGAUCCACUUUAGUUGUCACAGGACGCUAGCAGUGUGCUGGUGCCUGCUUCAACUGGUCAUUGUCUAGGGCAAUUCUGGAGGCCCGACUGUUGACGCUGGAACGUGUAGGUUAUUAAUUUUUCGUGGCUUUAGCUGGUCGCGAUUUAGGUGUUUGUUUAUACAAUUAACAUAUAAAACUAAACACCAGAAUUUAGUUAGAAACACAAAGGCGUAUAACUUUAUUAACAUGCAAUAUAGAAUCUUCCAAAAACGUUUAAAUACAGGUACAUCAAUAAAACUGGCGACUAAACUAAGAUCUCUAAAUGACUGUGAACGUUAGAUUUCAAUAUAGUAUUCUAGUACAAUAUUAGGAAAACACGAAGAAGCGGGAAAUGCGACUGUCCGCUCUACAAAACCCACGCCAAUUGCCCCUUUGUCCCCAAAAUCCCCAGGUCAUGUACAAUUUCCAGCAAUCACUAAAAAUCACAUCCAGGGCAAAAAAAUGAGUUCUGGCCCGUUGAUGCUUGUUGAACAAAAAAUGCAGUCUCUGUUUGCUGUAGUCCACUCUAUGUUGAUUAUUCUUGGACUUUUCUCUUGUUGUGUACCAGGGUGACAUGUUCAUUUAAAACAACAUUCUGUGUUAGCUGACAAAUAAGAACAUGCUUUUAGUCUUUAAGAGACAGUUUUCUUGUACCAGGUUUAUGGCUGAGGCAAAAUAAAAUAUAGGAGUUGGCUUAACACAUUUCAAACAGCCAAUAAAACAAUUUUUCCACCACCUGAUGGUUUUUCUUUCAAAGACACAGUAGUAGGUCACUUACUGGUCUAGCAUGACAAAAAUGAUAACAAGUUAAAUCCCAUGUAAAAAAAUCUACUUGAAAGAAAAAAUACAUGCUCUUUGCAAAUAACAAAGAUUAACAGUUAUUGACCCAUUAAAAAAAAGUUCUACAUACUGAUGACAUCUAUGUUAAUUGAUCUUCAAAGCCUGAUUUUAAAAAUGUGUUUUAUGUUAUUUAAUGUUCAUAAAAAUUAAAUGUUUCCACUUCUAUUCUAUUAAAUUUGUGUGCAUUAGGUUUGCCACCAUGCAUCCUCUUCUGCUACAUUUCAAACUUUUUGUCUUUAGCUUGUUUUUCCUUUUACUUGUUCUUUCUUUUAUUCUUUCUCCUCUUCCUUUUUGUUUUUCUCUUUCCAUCCAUUUACCUAAUUAUCUAUUCUCAAUAUCUUCUUUUUCUUAGCACUUUCUCUUCAUGUUCCUAAGUUCUUCACCACUUAUAAGACUUGGCAUUGUCUAGAUUGGCCACUCACUUUCUCCUCACUUUCCUAAAUUCUUCACCACUUAUAAGACAUGGCAUUGUCUAGAUUGGCCACUCACUUUCUCCUCACUUUCCUAAAUUCUUCACCACUUAUAAGACUUGGCAUUGGCCACUCACUUUCUCCUCACUUUCCUAAGUUCUUCACCACUUAUAAGACUUGGCAUUGUCUAGAUUGGCCACUCACUUUCUCUUCAUUUUCCUAAGUUCUUCACCACUUAUAAGACUUGGCAUUGUCUAGAUUGGCCACUCACUUUCUCUUCAUUUUCCUAAAUUCUUCACCACUUAUAAGACUUGGCAUUGUCUAGAUUGGCCACUCACUUUCUCCUCACUUUCCUAAAUUCUUCACCACUUAUAAGACUUGGCAUUGUCUAGAUUUCUCUUGCCAUUCACUUUGCCUUUUAUAAAAAGGACAGUUGGAACACUUUGUCACUAGUGAUUGUUGCUUGAUUGCUGGGAUGUCACUUUACUUUGCACAUGUCAUCCUAGGUGUGCAACAACUUCAGGAAUUGUUGGCAUCAUCAUUACAACCUUGGGAUUGGUAUCCAUUUAAUUUGGAACAGAACAUUUCAUAGCUGAUGUAGCUCAAUCUUGUGCUUUAUUAUGUCUGUUAGGCCUAAUUCCUUAGUGAUGACAUCUUCGUAUUCUACUAGUAGCUGCUUGAUUCCACAAAUUCCUUUGGUAUUUCUUUAGAUACUUCUGUAUUUUGUGACACUGCACAUAUUUCUUGACCUUAUUAAUUACUUGUGAUUACAUGCGCAUUAUUCAAGUCAAUCAUAGCAACAUCAUUAGCUAAGAGGCACUGUUAUAUUUUCUUUAUUUAUCAAUGCUUACAAAGAAUAGCUUGAGGGAGUUUUUUUUUCUGCUGGAGCCUCUGACAUGUGCUAUUUGCUAUUUCUGACCACAGAGUCAUCAAUGCUGUCUCAUGCCAACAAUGUUACCAGAACAUUGUAAACUCUGGGGUUACCCUCCACUCUAUGCUUAUGGUGUAUCUUAAAGGUUUUCUUGACUUUAGCCAUGUGGCCCAUUCAUCUGUCACACCCAGGAUGAUUGCUUCCACCACAAAGUCUGGUUCACACAAAGGAUUUUGAAAUAUCCUUGAUCUUUGUCUUGUUGAUUGUGGGAGACCCAGUGGAGAGUGAUGUAGACUUUUCUCCCUCCAAAGGACUCAUCUCAAUUGUAAUGUGACUCUCCUCCCCAAUGGAUUUCUACAAAUGAGAUUCGGAUGUGUUUGGAUCCUCUCUUUGUCUAUUUCUAAGUAGAUUGGUGAGUCGAGAGAGCUCAACUCUAGCUUUCCUUCCUCUUCUCCUUUCCUCUGACUGAGCAUUCUCACUUGGAUCCUCAGAGAGUUUUGUUUUUUUGGUGUAGUUGGGGCUGAGUUGUUCCCCAUUGUUUUGAGGUUUUUUUUUGUCUUUUUUUCUUUCUAGUCCAGGCUCAUUGGGCAAGGUCUCACCACUUUAUUGAUAUUGUUGGUUUCUUGGAUUUACUGUGAUUUUUUUCUCCCCUUGAAGUUGGAUUUAUUAGGGCAUUUGUUUAAUCAGUGCCAGCACUGUUGUCUCCUCCCUGGAAUGAUAACUAGGACUUUGUUUUACAUACCAUCAUCCUCAUACUUGAGAUUAAUGUAAUGUGGGACUUCUGUCCCUUUCUUAAUUUUGAGCCAUGCCGCCCAUUCUCGAGUUUUUUCCUGUCUUCACUUCUCUUAGCAUUUUGAAUUCAGGAUAUAAUUGAAUUUGGAUGAGGUUCAGGUUUUGAACUAUGCUAUCGACGUCAAAUUCAAUAUGUAUUAUAAACAAAUUAAAAAUGAUUCUUAAGGAUUACCUUUAAGAUAAUGGCAAACACUUCUUCUCUGCAGCUUUUCCCUGUUAUUUUUCAUGUGACUCAUCUUGUGGAACUUUGGUUAUUGUUGCUGUAAAGCUCUGUUUGGAGAGGUUCACUUUCAUAUCCUGGGUCCUUUUAAUAGAUGUCUUUAAUAACUGAGGUAGUUAUUCCAAUCUAGCAAGCUGCUCAUUUUUUUUGGAGUUUAUUGAAUACUUGAUCUAUUAUUCUUACACCAUUUGUAUAUCAUAUCAUUAUCAAAACUGUAAGUUAUCUUUUGGUAUUUUUAAAAAUCUAAUUCUAGCUAAUGCAGUAUUCUUAUUCUAUUGAGAGUUAUUUCAUUUUUAGAAGUAUUAAAAAUGACUUUAGUCAUUCAUUUCCUGUGUAUUUCUUGACAAGUGAAAUUUUUUGGAGCAGGAAUCUUUCUUGUCCUUUGUUUCUUUUUCAAUUUUCUAUAUCUUACAAUUUUCUUUGUGCCGAUGUGCCAAAAACUCAAACUCUUCUUUGUUCAAUGAGAAGUUUUAGAAUCUUUCUUAAAGUGACUAAAAAGAAAAGGACAAUGUUCAAUAAGACUCAAAGUCAUCUUUUGGCAUAGUUUAAAAAGUUGUUCUGGAUUACGGUUAGGAUUAGUUUCACUGGAUGUUGUUUUGAAUUUGGAUCAAAAGAAUAAAGGAAUUAAGAAAAGUGUUGUGAUGAAUCAGAAACACUAUAAUUUGUGUUCUUCUCAAGAUUGAUUCCUAGAACUUCAGGCAGUUGAAUCUCAAUGUCAGAAAAACACCAAAACCACAUUAUCCACUCAGUCAUGUUGGACAUUCCCGUAGACUAUUUCCUGUGUCCUCUGAUAGUGACACAGUUCACUUGGUGAUAGUGACACUUGGUGAUGAUUGCUACUUAUCUGUUCAAAGAGAUUAACACAACAAAUAAAGGCAGCAGUAGCUAAAUCUAGACUGUAAGGCCCAAAAGAAAGCAACCAUCAUUGACUCAUCAGUCCAAGUAAAACCUGUUGUACACAAAAAGAAAACAGAAGUGUCUGCUAGAGGGAAAAUGUCAAAAAAAAGACAACUGGCCUGAUUGUUAAAGACAGACUAGGUGCACCUGGACAAGCUGUCUUAGCCAAGUAGAGCUCCACUGGCACUGACUCAGACUCCAAAGCUGCCUAUGAAAAAAUCAAAUGUUGUAAGGAAGAUAAAAUCUGCUGAGAGGCCAAACUCGACCAAGCACCGGUCCGCAAAGAACAAGUUGACCUCUGCCCGGAAAGGCCACCAAAUCACAGAUUUAAAAGAAAGAAUCAUUGUGGUCACUGUCCCUUUCAGCUGGCACCCUUUGCUGAGGCUUGGUUCUGCUCCUUGAUGCCACAUUGUGUUGCCUCCCUUUGUGUUUUUUUACACUUUGUGUUCGUGUACGGCUGCAGGUUUUUUUAUCUGGAAUAAAUGGUGAAAUGGGCCUACAUGUUGUCUUGGUUAUUUGUUCAAUUCUGUGCCAAACCCAGCAAACAAAAUUAUGUAUAUCAAAGAAAUAUUCAGAAGGAUGAUAAAAAGAAGGAUGAUAAAAAAAAGAACUGAAGGCAAAAUCCUUAAACCUGGAGCACAACAGUAAGGAGAAAACAAAGCUACACAGUCUCAUGAAAGCAUCUAGCUCAUCAGCAACUUUAGAAGAGUGCUAAAACCAUCUGCAAAUAAAAACAUAUGAAUCUGAAGAGUCAAGCCAUCUGACUGAACUAGAUUCAUUAGAGGACUUAUGAUGAUGUCAUGAACACUCUACCUCUACAGAGCCAAGCAGUACCCUUCUUACAUUAUAGGCACCAGGCAAAUUAUUUUUAGAACCUUCAACAACCUGGUCUUUCUCUAGGUGAGAAUGGUCACCAAGUAUUUGUAGUCAUGGACCCAGCUCAGUUGGAACAGAUUUAGGUAAUGCUGGUCACCUUUCCCAUAAUUUUUUAACUUUUGGUUUAGCUAAGACAGUGAAAUGUGUUUUUAUCCUUGACAUUCAAUCACUUUUUUUUCAUACAUACAUACAAGGCAUUUAACUUGAUGCUUCCUAUCCAGUCAUUUCAUAGGAAAUGAGACUACCUAGGCUAUAUCACAUAUAAUUUGAAACUGACAUCUUUCCCAGAAAUAACAUUGUUAGGAUUCAAUGGAGACAUAAGCUUAUCAGGCAGUUUUCAAAUCUUUUUUUAGAACUUAAAAAAUACCAUUGAUUACACUAGUUUAUGUUUUCUCUAGCAACUGGCUGUUCAACUUUUGGAAAGUCUAAAGUAAUGAACAGACCAGUCUCAUGGGUUGGAAGAACAAAUAGCUGAAAGUAAAAAAGCAAGGCAAUAAAUUGAUGUUGAUGAAAGCUGUAUGAUCUUUUGCUCUAGAUUUAUUCAUCAGAAAAGUGUUGUGUCAACUGAAUCACUUAGUUGUUUGUGUUUUCAACAACAUGAACAUGUUUUUUUUUAUUUUUAACUUGUUUCGUUUGUUUUUUUAUUUAUUCCUAAAAAUUAUCUAAUCAAAUGUGUACAUAAAGUAUGAUACUUGAUUCAGUGCAACAACAAAUUGCACUCAGAAGAAUGAACUACUGUGUAGUCAUGUGAGGAGAUAAGAACUUUGAUCCACCCAUCAAACCACUGCAUUGUAGUUUAUUAAAAACUAUACCAGGAGCUUUUACUAAUUGUGUUUCUGUUCAGUAUAGUGUGGAGAGAAUGGUAGAGUGAUUGUGGGUGGGAUAGAGCUUUGUGUUUUGUCUAAUGAUUAAAAUAAUUAUAAAUACAAGCCAGCAGCUGUAUGCUGUCAAUUAAUCAAGUGUGGGAAUAUCAUAAGCUGGCCAUCCAACUAGUGGCAGUCCUAAAUCAACAUGUACAGUAUUUCUGUUUUGUAAACUAGGACUUGUUCUUGUUGCCUCAUUUUAUUUUAAUUGCUGACUCAUGAGAUGGAAAUAUUAUAUAUUUUUGAUGGAUCUGUUUACAUCUUAGUGUUACUUUGUAUUAUGUUAGUGAUGUCAAUGAUUUGUUCAAAUUGAAAACUGGAGUCAAAUGUUCUUUGGUGGAUAUUCAUGUUGAUUGCUGUGAAUGAGUUUUAAAUGGAAAAAAAAUAUUGAUAUGAAAGAUAUGAGCAUUUAUGUAUUCUUUAAAUAAGAUUAAAGUAAUCAUACCAAUGCUU